rnacentral:rRNA from 1 species
CGGAGGGAUCAUUACUGAGUUUACGCUCUACAACCCUUUGUGAACAUACCUAUAACUGUUGCUUCGGCGGGUAGGGUCUCCGCGACCCUCCCGGCCUCCCGCCCCCGGGCGGGUCGGCGCCCGCCGGAGGAUAACCAAACUCUGAUGCAACGACGUUUCUUCUGAGUGGUACAAGCAAAUAAUCAAAACUUUUAACAACGGAUCUCUUGGUUCUGGCAUCGAUGAAGAACGCAGCGAAAUGCGAUAAGUAAUGUGAAUUGCAGAAUUCAGUGAAUCAUCGAAUCUUUGAACGCACAUUGCGCCCGCCAGCAUUCUGGCGGGCAUGCCUGUUCGAGCGUCAUUUCAACCCUCAAGCUCUGCUUGGUGUUGGGGCCCUACAGCUGAUGUAGGCCCUCAAAGGUAGUGGCGGACCCUCCCGGAGCCUCCUUUGCGUAGUAACUUUACGUCUCGCACUGGGAUCCGGAGGGACUCUUGCCGUAAAACCCCCAAUUUUCCAAAGGUUGACCUC